UUCUGAGUCCAUUCAGAGACAUCCAACAAUUGGAACAAUAUAGAAAAGAUUAACAUGUCUCAUGCACAAGACGAAAUGCAUAUAAAUUGAGAAAUAUACUAUGAUU